GACGAACGCUGGCGGCGUGCUUAACACAUGCAAGUCGAACGGAAAGGCCCUGCUUUUGUGGGGUGCUCGAGUGGCGAACGGGUGAGUAACACGUGUGUAACCUGCCCUUGACUUUGGGAUAACUUCAGGAAACUGGGGCUAAUACCGGAUAGGAGCCCCUGCUGCAUGGUGGGGGUUGGAAAGUUUCGGCGGUUGGGGAUGGACUCGCGGCUUAUCAGCUUGUUGGUGGGGUAGUGGCUUACCAAGGCUUUGACGGGUAGCCGGCCUGAGAGGGUGACCGGCCACAUUGGGACUGAGAUACGGCCCAGACUCCUACGGGAGGCAGCAGUGGGGAAUAUUGCACAAAGGGCGGAAGCCUGAUGCAGCAACGCCGGGUGAGUGAUGAAGGUCUUCGGAUCGUAAAGCUCUGUUGUUAGGGAAGAACAAACGUGUAAGUAUCUGUGCACGUCUUGACGGUACCUAAUCAGAAAGCCACGGCUAACUACGUG
rnacentral:rRNA from 1 species